rnacentral:rRNA from 1 species
UACGGAGGGGGCAAGCGUUGUUCGGAAUUACUGGGCGUAAAGGGCUCGUAGGCGGCCCACUAAGUCCGACGUGAAAUCCCCAGGCUUAACCUGGGAACUGCGUCUGAUACUGGAUGGCUUGAAUUCGGGAGAGGGAUGCAGAAUUCCAGGUGUAGCGGUGAAAUGCGUAGAUAUCUGGAGGAAUACCGGUGGCGAAGGCGGCAUCCUGGACCGACAUUGACGCUGAUGAGCGAAAGCUAGGGGAGCAAACGGG